rnacentral:rRNA from 1 species
AGAUAGAAACCGACCUGGCUCACACCGGUUUAAACUCAGAUCAUGUAAAAUUUUAAAGGUCGAACAGACCUAAUAACUUAGUAUCUUCACCAAAUAUUAAUUUUAAUCCAACAUCGAGGUCGCAAUCCCCCUUUUCGAUAAGAACUCUAAAAAGGAUUACGCUGUUAUCCCUGAGGUAAUUUAUCUUAUAAUCUUAACUUAGGAUCAUUUAUUCAUAAAUAAAUGUCUUACAAUAAAAAAAAGUUCUACUAAUUUUUCAAUCACCCCAACUAAAUAAUUAUAUAAAUAAAUACCUUUAUAGCCUAAAAAAGUAAUUCACUCCUUUAAAUAUAAAACUCUACAGGGUCUUCUCGUCUUCUAUUUUUAUACAAGCUUUCUUACUUAAAAAUAAAAUUCUACUAAAUUAUUAAAGAGACAGUAUUUUUUUCAUCAAACCCUUCAUUCAAGUUUCAAAUUAAAAAACUAAUGAUUAUGCUACCUUUGUACGGUCAAUUUACCGCAGCCAUUCAAAACCUUUCAUCGGGCAGGUCAGACCUGAAAUUAUAUUCAACAGGCC